rnacentral:sRNA from 1 species
AUAUCUCUCCGUACGGGAAGGAUGAGAAGCUUCGACUAAGGUUCGAUUCGAGCGAAAGCGAGAAAGCGUUGCCGCAGGCAACGACCCGA